CACAGAACUGCAGGGUUUAGCAUGGGAUGUUGAUAUAGCUCUAGGAUUAUAUACAGUUAGACUGUCUAGACCACAUUCAGCAGGGAUGUGGAUGGGUUACCUGAAAUGUUCACUUUGUAACCAGGCAAUGGGGCCCAAAUCUACCCCUGCACCAG
rnacentral:lncRNA from 12 species